CUUCACCGAGCCCAGCCAGAGCGGGCGGUCCUGCGCCCGCUCCUGCCCAUACGUGGCCAGCAGUGCCUGGGCCUC
rnacentral:antisense_RNA from 1 species